GACAGAGGAUGCAAGCGUUAUCCGGAAUGAUUGGGCGUAAAGCGUCUGUAGGUGGCUUUUCAAGUCCGCCGUCAAAUCCCAGGGCUCAACCCUGGACAGGCGGUGGAAACUACCAAGCUAGAGUAUGGUAGGGGCAGAGGGAAUUCCUGGUGUAGCGGUGAAAUGCGUAGAGAUCAGGAAGAACACCGAUGGCGAAGGCAGGUCUCUGGGCCGCAACUGACGCUGAGGAGCGAAAGCAUGGGGAGCGAACAGG
rnacentral:rRNA from 1 species